rnacentral:rRNA from 1 species
ACUCCUACGGGAGGCAGCAGUGAGGGAAUAUUGGUCAAUGGACGCAAGUCUGAACCAGCCAUGUCGCGUGCAGGAAGACUGCCCUAUGGGUUGUAAACUGCUUUUAUACGGGAAGAAAUAUAGCUACGUGUAGUUAUUUGCCGGUACCGUAUGAAUAAGCAUCGGCUAACUCCGUGCCAGCAGCCGCGGUAAUACGGAGGAUGCGAGCGUUAUCCGGAUUCAUUGAGUUUAAAGGGGUGCGUAGGCGGAAGUAUAAGUCAGGGGUGAAAGUUUGUGGCUCAACCAUAAAAUUGCCUUUGAUACUGUAUUUCUUGAGUACAUUUGAGGUAGGCGGAAUGUGUUGUGUAGCGGUGAAAUGCUUAGAUAUAACACAGAACACCGAUUGCGAAGGCAGCUUACUAAACUGUAACUGACGCUGAUGCACGAAAGCGUGGGGAUCGAACAGGAUUAGAUACCCUGGUAGCACAGAG